GCUUGAGAGCUAGCUCAGUUGGUAGAACACGAGACUCUUAAUCUCAGCGACAUGGAUUUGAGCCCCAUGUUGGGCA